rnacentral:rRNA from 1 species
UACGUAGGGUGCAAGCGUUAAUCGGAAUUACUGGGCGUAAAGCGUGCGCAGGCGGCUUUGCAAGACAGAUGUGAAAUCCCCGGGCUUAACCUGGGAACUGCAUUUGUGACUGCAUGGCUGGAGUGCGGCAGAGGGGGAUGGAAUUCCGCGUGUAGCAGUGAAAUGCGUAGAUAUGCGGAGGAACACCGAUGGCGAAGGCAAUCCCCUGGGCCUGCACUGACGCUCAUGCACGAAGCGUGGGAGC